CUGACCGUAAACGAUGCCAACUAGCGAUCCGCCGGCGGAUAUUUCGCCCUGGUGGGGAGCUUCCCGGAAACGAAAGUCUUCCGGUUCCGGGGGAAGUAUGGUUGCAAAGCUGAAACUUAAAGGAAUUGACGGAAGGGCACCACCAGGAGUGGAGCCUGCGGCUUAAUUUGACUCAACACGGGGAAACUCACCCGGCCCGGACACCGUGAGGAUUGACAGAUUGAAAGCUCUUUCUUGAUUCGGUGGUUGGUGGUGCAUGGCCGUUCUUAGUUCGUGGAGCGAUUUGUCUGGUUUAUUCCGAUAACGAGCGAGACUCUAGCUUACUAAAUAGUCUGGUCUUUAUUACUGAGGCCUGACUUCUUAGAGGGAUUUUCGGUGUUCAGCCGCACGAGAUUGAGCAAUAACAGGUCUGUGAUGCCCUUAGAUGUCCGGGGCUGCACGCGCGCUACACUGGCGAAAUCAGCGUGCUUUUCCUAUCUCGAAAGAGAUUGGUAAACCGAUGAAAAUUUGCCGUGAUUGGGAUCGGAAAUUGCAAUUAUUUUCCGUGAACGAGGAAUUCCAAGUAAGUGCGAGUCAUCAACUCGCGUUG
rnacentral:rRNA from 1 species